CAGCAGUAGCUGAGAAGAGAUCCUCACAGCAGUCUCAUCUUAGUUUUCUGCUCUGUAUUUGAUCAAGAAAUGUGCAAAUUCAGCGGGUUUUACUUAAGAAAAUGAGAAACAAUUGAACUCAGACAAACAAUACCAUUUUAAUACAGUUAAAUAGACACAUGGACAUGCAGUCACUGCUUGAAUGUCUUAUACACGGGAAUCUCGGUUUUCUCUAUUAGUCUGUUCCAAAAAAAGUCAGACAAAAACCACGAAAACUGAAGCAAACCUAACUUCAAAGAGUGGACGGUUAGAGCUGUAUACUUGUUUAUUUUGCAGCCGUUAAAAGUUACGCAGUGUGCUUGAACACCUCAUCAGAGCAGGGCACACGGCGCUCAUUAGUAGGAAGAAAGGAGACCGAAACAGAGUUCUUCAUUGUUCUGGGAUUCCCGGUCUGGAAUCUGUCUAUAAUGUCCCAACUCGAAAAGAACCACGAUCCAUUCUUCAUAUAGACUGAAUCACCAACUCAUAGAUGCUUUGUUUGGGUACUGGAUUCCACGGAAUGAUACAAGGGCAAACUGAAGGGGUGGGUGCGUGUAAGGUGCUUGUCACUGCUGUCCUUCCAUAGAGAGGAAAAGCCAGUAUUUGUUUUUGUAUUUAUUUACAACAACAGCACCAGCUGUUUAGCAGCAAGUCAAAUGCAUUAAAGAUAUUUUUGUGCUCUGCUGAAUGAAUGAAUGAAUCUGACUGCCAUGACGGACGGUUAUAUAGCCAAGCUUAUCAGGAGGUGAUCAGACUUUUACAACAAAGCAUCGGCGCUUUUCCUGAAGAUGGUAAUAAAAGGCCUCGCCAGCCAUGAGCCUCGCCGCACGUCACCGCGUUCAAGCUACAUUUGGAGCAGAUGUCCGAAGCGGAACCCUCCCCCCCGUGCCCUUGGACCUGACACAUACCACUGCACAAGUCCUAAAAUAGUCCCAACCUCCUCUCGACAGAGUGAGGAACUAAGCGGAGCACCAAGUGUCUGUUUGCGGCUUCGAAAACAACUUUUUCAUGGACACAGCAGAAUCAUGGAGCCUCCCUCGCAGGUUUCAUUCCCAGCCAACGGGGAGAUGCAGAAGCAAGAGGCCGAUGUCACAGUCUACAUGAAUUUCAUGAAGAGCCACUGCUGCUAUGACGCCAUUCCAACCAGUUGUAAACUGGUCAUAUUUGAUACCAAGCUCCAAGUAAGCACUCGCCUUCUUCUUCAGCUGAUGAAUGACUGUCGCCCUGAAUGUGUUUAUCCACAUCCGAAAGGUGCAAAAAGCCUUUUAUGCACUGGUGGCAAACAGCUUGAGGGCUGCACCUUUAUGGGACAGCAAGCUGCAGAAAUUUGUAUGCUGACUAUUACAGAUUUCAUCAAUAUUCUUCAUUGCUAUUACAAGUCCCCCUUGGUGCAGAUGUAUGAGUUGGAGAGCCACAAGAUCGAAACAUGGAGAGAUGUCUAUUUAAAGUGCUCCUGUCCACUUCUGAUUAGCAUUUCUCCAGAUGCCAGCCUCUUCGAUGCCAUCUAUUCCUUACUCAAACACAAGAUCCACAGACUACCUGUCAUCGAUCCAGAGUCGGGGAACGUCCUGCACAUUCUUACCCACAAAAGGAUCCUGAAGUUCCUCCAUAUAUUUGGGAAAAAGGUUCCCAAGCCUGUGUUUGUUCAGAGGCAGAUCCAGGAGCUGGGAAUAGGAACUUUCAAAAACAUUGCCACAGUUCACCAAACAGCGACGCUUUAUGAUGCCCUUUCCAUAUUUGUGGAAAGGAGAGUGUCGGCACUUCCAGUGGUUGAUGAAGGAGGCAAAGUGGUGGCACUCUACUCAAGAUUUGAUGUUAUUAAUCUGGCUGCGCAAAAGACGUACAGCAAUCUGCACGUGACGAUGCUGGAGGCUCUUCAUAGGCGCACGUGUUGCAUGGAGGGUGUGAUCAAGUGCUAUCCAGAUGAAACACUGGAGACCGUCAUAGAUCGUAUAGUCACAGCUGAGGUCCAUCGGCUGGUGCUAGUGGACAGAGGUGACGUGGUGAGGGGCAUCAUCUCACUGUCUGACCUGCUGCAGGCUAUGGUCUUAACCCCAGCAGGUAUUGAAGCCCUUUUGUCCUAGCAGCGAGGGGCAGAGGGGCCCCAAUUAUUGUCAGUGUAGGCUUCAGUCCUGGCUGUGCUCCCAGGCAGAAAUAACCCAAUAAGAGACAAAUACAAGAAGAAUUGUUCGGCUCUGCAGCUGUUUACAUGAAGAUGUCUGUGCUGCUUCUAAGCAGCUGGAAUGGACAGUGAGCCAUCCUUACUGACUCUGCCACACUGUUCUGUUCUCUUGAGGUC